rnacentral:rRNA from 1 species
CGAUAGUUCACGUUUAAUUUUACUUAUUCUUGUAAAAUCAAUUUGUAUACCGCCGUCAUAAGAUUAUCUUUUUAGAGAAUGAAUUUUCUUUAUAUUUGAGUAAAUAGAAUGUCAGGUCAAGGUGCAGUUUAUGGAUAAGGGGAGAUGGAUUACAAUAAAAUUAUUUAUACGAAUAUAAAGAUGAAUUUAUUUAUUAAAGGUGGAU